AGGGCUGUAGCUCCAUGGUAGAGCACCGGCUUUGCAUGCAGAAGGUCACAGGUUCAAUUCCUGGUAACUCUG